GUAAAGUCCAAGAUCAAGGAGGCUGAAGUCGAGUACUGGUAAAGGUUGCUCUUCUUUACCUAUUGCAUCUUUGCUUCAUGGGGGAGCCAGUGCAGAAUCCUCACUUUGUGGAAGGGCAACAGAGAGAACCUGCUCCAUCUUGCAGAUCAGAUGUUAGGUCCCAACACUAUGCCUGACUAUCUUGCCUGCUUACCUGCCUGCCUGCCUCCACACUUCCCACUAUGAUGAUCAUGGACGAACCCUCAGAAACUUCUGUUUCAGAUAUAAUGCUACCCAGAUGUGAGUAGUGUGGAACUGGAAGGCCUCCACAGGGUCUGUGAGUUAAAGCACAAUCUUCAGUCAGGGGUGCUAUGAAGAGGAAGAGGAGGAGGACGAUGACCUUAAAGAUGUGGAGCCUAUUAAUAAAAAAUGAGGUUGUGGUAAGCCCAAAGU